rnacentral:rRNA from 1 species
UGAGGAAUAUUGGUCAAUGGACGAGAGUCUGAACCAGCCAAGCAGCGUGCAGGAUGACGGCCCUAUGGGUUGUAAACUGCUUUUGCUUGGGAAUAAUCGACAUUACGUGUAAUGUUUUGCAUGUACCAUUCGAAUAAGGACCGGCUAAUUCCGUGCCAGCAGCCGCGGUAAUACGGAAGGUCCAGGCGUUAUCCGGAUUUAUUGGGCUUAAAGGGAGUGUAGGCGGUUGGUUAAGCGUGUUGUGAAAUGUAGAUGCUCAACAUCUGACUUGCAGCGCGAACUGGCUGACUUGAGUACACACAACGUAGGCGGAAUUCAUGGUGUAGCGGUGAAAUGCUUAGAUAUCAUGAAGAACUCCGAUUGCGAAGGCAGCUUACGGGAGUGUUACUGACGCUUAAGCUCGAAGGUGCGGGUAUCGAACAGG